rnacentral:tRNA from 1 species
GCGUGUAGUUCAGUUGGUAGAAUGCCAGACUCCGACUCUGGAGGUCACGGGUUCAAGUCCCGCCAUGUCC